UACGUAGGGGUCUAGCGUUGUCCGGAAUUAUUGGGCGUAAAGAGCUCGUAGGCGGUUCGGCAAGUCGGAUGUGAAAUCUCCACGCUUAACGUGGAGGGGCCAUUCGAAACUGCCGUGACUCGAGCCCGGUAGGGGAGUUCGGAAUUCCCGGUGUAGCGGUGAAAUGCGCAGAUAUCGGGAGGAACACCAGUGGCGAAGGCGGGUCCCUGGGCAGUAACUGACGCUGAGGGGCGAAAGCAUGGGGAGCGAACAGG
rnacentral:rRNA from 1 species